AUUAUACAAAUUAAAGUUAUUAUUGUUCGUUGUUGUCACGGCCAGGCGGAUCAGCUGCACGCUGAUCAGCACUCUCUCUGUUUCUCUCUCUUCCUCUCUCUCUCCGCUUCUCUCUCGCCAGGGCGGAACUCACUGUGGGUUCACGCCCUCGGCCCACGCCCUCGGGAGAUGAGACACCUGGGUCUCAUUAAGGUGAUCAGCAUUUAAGCCAGGAGGUGACUGCUGUUCGUCGCUGGAUCGUUGUCUACCACGCAGCUCCCUGGAUUUUCCCCCGUGUGAUUCCCGUGUGGCAGUGUCGGAGUGUGAGCCUGUGAUCGUGUGAGUGGAUAUUCUGAAGAACGCGUGCUUUCCCCUGGACUUCCCUGGAGACCCCUUCUCCCCUCACUCAGCUGUAUAUAGCACCCCCCGCACAUUCUUGUAUAUACACCUGGUGCAUUGUAAAUAAACCCUUCUUGUGAGCAUCAGAA